CGGCCCUCCCCGCCCCGAGCGCAGCCUUUCUCCGCGCUUACGUGUCCGGAGACUUUCCUCCACUGCAGAGUUUGCAAGAUACUUCCCGACGUUUUAAAGCUGUGCCCAGUCAAGAAGCAGCAGAUGGUUUGAAGUCAGAACUUUUGCCUUUCAACUAGUUCUAGCCAAACAACAACAAAAAAAUACCCGGCAACUGUUUGAAAGAUUCCACCGCAGAUCACGGUAGAACCGGUGAGAUCUGGGAAGUUCCGGUGCUGCACAAGUCCGUGAAACGUCUGAUGCGUGCAGAUUUCCGCGUGACUGCCUGCGGCGCGCGCCGGAGGCGGCAUCUGGGCGGCGCUGGACCCUGCCCGCUCAGCCACACUUCCGCACGGCGCAGCUGAGGGAGGAAAAGAUCACGGACGUCACAUGAGCCGGGCAGGUGGCACGUGCGUGUGACCACCUCGCCAGUAGGUGCAGAUCUGCCGACAAACCAGGAGGACGGGGGGUUCUCCUGGGGUGCUCCCCUCCCCCGCCCGCACAUCCGCUUCUGCCUCUGCCCACGCCUGGUAGCCAGGGCGAGUAUCUGUGUUACACCCCUAGCCCUUUAUCUAAGAGAUAAGAAAGACCAGUGCAAGCAGCUGGCCUUCGUUCAGA